GCACGUGGGGAGAAGAGAGAGGCUACUGUGCAUAAAUUAGGGCACUCGCCGGAUUUUUGACCGGCCGUUUGGACGGCCAAACGAUCUCCUUUCGGCCCAAAUUCGGAGGAAGUACUCUAUUUGACUAGAGGAACAAGCCUGCAGUGGCUGAUUUCGUUUUUAACGGCUAAAUUUUCAGAUCUGAGGUAGGGGACCCUAACCCUAAAACUUAAAUUUUUAUGUUUUUCUCUUGAAAAAAAAUUGUAGAUACUGUCAUUAUGAGUUAAUUAGGAAUUAUGGGUGUUGUAUGAAUUUUUCUAGAAUAUUUGGAAUUUGUUUGGAAUUUUUGGAAUUUCGGGAAAUUGAUUUUGAUUGAUAAUUAAUUGUUUUGAAAUGUAAAAAAAUUAUUAGAUGGGUUGGAAAAUUCCAAAAUUUGGGUUAAAUUUCAAAUAUAAUGAUUUGUGAAUUUUUAGGCAUUGGUUAGAAUAUUUUCGAAAAUUUUAGGGUAAAUAGUUAGUUAAUUUUGGAUAGUAGAAAUUAUUAUAAUGGUUGAAAAAUUUUGUAAGUGUGGUAAAAUCUCAAGAUUUUUUAUAUGCAAUUUUUUGAAUAUUUAUUUGGGAUAUUAUCGGAAAUUGUAAUGUGUGAAAUUAUUUUAUUGGAUUAUUGGGGAAUGUUGAGAUUGUUGAAUUAUUGAGGAAUUUUAGAAAUUGUGGCAUUCAUUGCAUCAUGGUUGUAUGAAGAAAAAAAAUUCUGUGAAAAGUGUAUGAAAUGGAAAAAAUAAAUAAAUAGUGAUGAAAAGCGAAAGCCCGUGUGAGGCAAACUAAGAAGGGAGAGAGAUCCCUAGGGUGAAAGACCCAAAAGUUUACCUCGGGAAGACUCCAAAUGGGGAGUAUAUUUGGGUGCGGACGCGUAUCCUUCGGUGAAAGCCCGAGAAUGAUAGUGCAUUGUAUGACUGUGUGUCACACGUUCAUAUGCAUUCAUUUAAUGAUUGGAUGUUGUGGAAUUAAGUAUAACAUUAUAUUGUUAAAUUGUGUGACUUGAUUUAUAUUGGUGAUCUGUUGCGGUUGGGUUCUUGAAAUUUAGUAAUCCCCCAUUAACCCUUUGGGUGUUAGGCACCCUACUUAGCAACGUGGAAAUGCUCACCCCUUUCUUUUUAUAUAUUUUUAGAUGCAGAUAUCACUCCUGAGGAUCCACGGAUGGGACAGGGAGGACUUCAGGAUGCCCCUGGAGCAGUUUAGUGGAAGGGCUUUAUUUUUUUAUUGUGUUUAUGGUAUUGAGACCUUGUAAUAAGUGAAUUAUGGAUAAUGUAAUAAGACCUUAAUUUGAUUAAGGG
rnacentral:lncRNA from 1 species